rnacentral:rRNA from 1 species
AUUGAACGCUGGCGGCAGGCCUAACACAUGCAAGUCGAACGAGUGGCGGACGGGUGAGUAACGUCUGGGAAACUGCCUGAUGGAGGGGGAUAACUAUUGGAAACGGUAGAUAAUACCGCAUACCAUCGGAUGUGCCCAGUUGGGAUUAGCUAGUAGGUGGGGUAAAGGCUCACCUAGGCGACGAUCCCUAGCUGGUCUGAGAGGAUGACCAGCCACACUGGAACUGGGAGGCGGUCCAGACUCCUACGGAGGGCACCAGUGGGGGAUGUUGCGCAGUUGGCGCAAGCCUGAUGCAGCCAUGCCGCGUGUGUGAAGAAGGCCUUCGGGUUGUAAAGUACUUUCAGCGGGGGGGCGUUACCCGCAGAAGAAGCACCGGCUAACUCCGUGCCAGCAGCCGCGGUAAUAC